UUAGGGACAGUGCCUGGUGGGUAGUUUGACUGGGGCGGUCUCCUCCUAAAGCGUAACGGAGGAGCACGAAGGUUGGCUAAGUACGGUCGGACAUCGUACGGUUAGUGUAAUGGCACAAGCCAGCUUAACUGCGAGACAGACACGUCGAGCAGGUACGAAAGUAGGUCAUAGUGAUCCGGUGGUUCUGAAUGGAAGGGCCAUCGCUCAACGGAUAAAAGGUACUCCGGGGAUAACAGGCUGAUACCGCCCAAGAGUUCAUAUCGACGGCGGUGUUUGGCACCUCGAUGUCGGCUCAUCACAUCCUGGGGCUGAAGUCGGUCCCAAGGGUAUGGCUGUUCGCCAUUUAAAGUGGUACGCGAGCUGGGUUCAGAACGUCGUGAGACAGUUCGGUCCCUAUCUGCCGUGGGCGUUGGAAGAUUGAGGGGGGUUGCUCCUAGUACGAGAGGACCGGAGUGAACGAACCGCUGGUGUUCGGGUUGUCAUGCCAAUGGCAUUGCCCGGUAGCUAUGUUCGGAAUUGAUAAACGCUGAAAGCAUCUAAGCGUGAAGCGAGCCCCAAGAUGAGUCUUCCCUUGGACUAGAGUCCACUAAAGAGCCGUUCGAGACCAGGACGUAGAUAGGCAGGGUGUGUAAGCGUUGUGAGGCGUUGAGCUAACCUGUACUAAUGACUCGAGAGGCUUAACCAU
rnacentral:rRNA from 1 species